GGGACUGCCGGUGAUAAGCCGAGAGGAAGGUGGGGAUGACGUCAAGUCUCAUGGCCCUUACGGGCUGGGCUACACACGUGCUACAAUGGUGGUGACAGUGGGCAGCGAGCACGCGAGUGUGAGCUAAUCUCCAAAAGCCAUCUCAGUUCGGAUUGCACUCUGCAACUCGAGUGCAUGAAGUUGGAAUCGCUAGUAAUCGCGGAUCAGCAUGCCGCGGUGAAUACGUUCCCGGGCCUUGUACACACCGCCCGUCACACCAUGGGAGUUGGUUUUACCCGAAGGCGCUGUGCUAACCGCAAGGAGGCAGGCGACCACGGUAGGGUCAGCGACUGGGGUGAAGUCGUAACAAGGUAGCCGUAGGGGAACCUGCGGCUGGAUCACCUCCUUUCUAAGGAGGAUCGAGAAUUGGAAAGA
rnacentral:rRNA from 1 species